rnacentral:rRNA from 1 species
CAAAUUUGAAAUCUGGCCCCUCCGGGGUCCGAGUUGUAAUUUGCAGAGGAUGCUUCGGGUGCGGCCCCUGUCUAAGUGCCCUGGAACGGGCCGUCAGAGAGGGUGAGAAUCCCGUCUUGGGCAGAGUGCCCGUGCCCGUGUGAAGCUCCUUCGACGAGUCGAGUUGUUUGGGAAUGCAGCUCAAAAUGGGUGGUAAAUUUCAUCUAAAGCUAAAUACCGGCCGGAGACCGAUAGCGCACAAGUAGAGUGAUCGAAAGAUGAAAAGCACUUUGAAAAGAGAGUUAAACAGCACGUGAAAUUGUUGAAAGGGAAGCGCUUGCAACCAGACUCGGCCUCGGGGUUCAGCCAGCAUUCGUGCUGGUGUACUUCCCCGGGGCCGGGCCAGCGUCGGUUUGGGCGGCCGGUCAAAGGCCCCAGGAAUGUAUCGUCCUCCGGGACGUCUUAUAGCCUGGGGUGCAAUGCGGCCAGCCUGGACCGAGGAACGCGCUUCGGCACGGACGCUGGCGUAAUGGUCGCAAACGACCCGUC